rnacentral:rRNA from 1 species
UACGUAGGGGGCAAGCGUUGUCCGGAUUUAUUGGGCGUAAAGAGCGUGUAGGCGGCCAAGCAGGUCCGCUGUGAAAACUCGAGGCUCAACCUCGAGACGUCGGUUGAAACCGUCUGGCUAGAGUCCGGAAGAGGAGAGUGGAAUUCCCGGUGUAGCGGUGAAAUGCGCAGAUAUCGGGAAGAACACCCGUGGCGAAGGCGGCUCACUGGCCCGGUACUGACGCUGAGGUGCGAAAGCGUGGGGAGCAAACAGG